CACAAAUUCACCCCUUCGCCACCUCUCCACUGCCUCCUCACCUGCAGCCGCCAUGAAGAUCAGCCCUGAGGCCAGCUAGUGAUUGCAUCCCGGCGGAGAUACGUGAAUGCGGAGGACUACGUCAGAUUCGGUGGACUGCGACGAUGACCAGCAUUUUUUAUUUAUUUCAAGAACAGGUUAAAGAAAAAGUAACAGGCCUGUGGGAGUCAGAAUUCUUACUGGUUGGUCAGAGCACACAGCACAGCAGAUCAGCUCCAGAGAAAAAGAAUAGAUACAGGAAUAAAGCUGAAAAGCUGAAAA